rnacentral:rRNA from 1 species
UACAGAGGGUGCGAGCGUUAAUCGGAAUUACUGGGCGUAAAGCGUGCGUAGACGGUUAUUUAAGUCGGGUGUGAAAGCCCCGGGCUCAACCUGGGAAUUGCAUUCGAGACUGAAUAGCUAGGGUACGGUAGAGGGAAGCGGAAUUUCCGGUGUAGCGGUGAAAUGCGUAGAUAUCGGAAGGAACAUCAGUGGCGAAGGCGGCCCUCUGGUCCAGUACUGACACUGAGGUGCGAAAGCGUGGGGAGCAAACAGG